rnacentral:rRNA from 1 species
UACAGAGGGUGCGAGCGUUGUUCGGAAUUAUUGGGCGUAAAGGGCGCGUAGGCGGUGCGGUAAGUCACCUGUGAAAUCUCCUGGCUCAACUGGGAGCUUGCAGGCGAAACUGCCGUGCUGGAGUGUGGGAGAGGUGCGUGGAAUUCCCGGUGUAGCGGUGAAAUGCGUAGAUAUCGGGGAGGAACACCUGUGGCGAAAGCGGCGCACUGGACCACAACUGACGCUGAGGCGCGAAAAGCGUGGGGGAGCAAACCAGG